CAUCAUCUGUCAGGCUUACUCUGCAACUUUGGGAAAACAACUGUGUAAAAUGCUCUCAGUCAUUGCAAUUUGGGAAGAAACAAUUUUUACCCAGAGUACAUUGGUAAAUACCAAACAAGAGUAAGAUAGUAAAGGUUGGGUGUAAAUAACAAGAAACCCUUGAGGUGUAAAGGGGACUAUUCCCACAAUUCAAUCCAUUUUGAGGUGAAAACCCUAGACUUAAGAAACUCAAAGUUCUGAGAGGAUAAGCAGCUGCACUGGCGGCAGCAAGGCUUUAAGAUAUGGAAGAAUCUGGUGAUACGGAAAUUGUUAAAUCGAACUUGUUACUGAAUACUCCGGUAAUUCAGAAGAAGAAGAAAAAAAGGGAAAAAGAAAAUCGAAAUGCAAAUAAUCUGUAUGUGCUGAUUUGGAAUUACUGGAUGAUCUCGGGAGGAUUUUGUGGUUUCUACGUGGUCUUCUUUUACUUGUACUCAUUCAAAUCAAGAUAGACCGAUAGACUUGAAUUAUUCCAUGGACCUUCAGAUAACAUCAUCCUCAAUCACCAAAAGAAUGUUUGUAACGCGUAUUGGUACCUCUCGAUUCUUGGAUAGUCCGGGAGAUCAAUGAUUUUUAGACAAGAUCCUGAUUCUAUUAAAACCGGUAUUAAGAUUCCCAAAGGGUUCUCAGAUUGGGUCUUGGUUGAAAAAGGAAAAUUGUGAAAAGUGUUGCGUCUGUCCCGAAGGUCUUGAUAAUUACUCCCAAUACACUAAGCAUACAGAUGAUUAUCAAAAAGAAUCAGCAGCUUAACACUCAGACCGACAGAAAUAGAGCAGAAGUUGAGGCGAUACUUACAAAAGCUCAGGCGGAAGUUUUAGCGAUUCAGGCCAUGACAUCGCUAUACUCUCCACGAUACAAAUGAAAUUUGUCUUGCAGAUAAACCCAAACGCGUUAACCGACAGGAGUGGAGGGAUUUUGUGAAAUUUUUGACUAGUGAAGAGCAUCAGGUAAUUUCCGGUCUCAAUAUCAAGAGUAGAGGCAUCAAAAUGCCAAGCACACGAUGGGGGAGGAAAAACUCUUCUUGAUGCAAAUCUGAAAUGGUUAUCUCUUUAACUACGCAAUCCCGUGCUUUCAGAUCUUAGUUCGACAUUGAACGGGACAGUCUUGCAUCUCUGUCAGAUCUAGAGAAAUCAGAAAUUCUGCCUAAUAAGGAGAACAUGUUGCAGUUUCUGGAAAUGGGUGUUUCCACACCGAUGAGGUUUCAGCAGCCAUCGACUCAAAUGUUGUGUAUCUCGAUGCAAGUCUGAAAUGGUUGUGAUCAUUUUGAGACUUGUAUAUCACAUUUCACAUCCACCUCAUUAAACUGUGUCAUAGGCUGCCCGCCCUUAUUGGCUGGCUACAUGACUACAAGUAAAUACUGAAGCAACAGCACAGGUGGAAGAUAUUAAGAAAGGGAAGGUUACACUGUGAACCCUAUCUCUACAUACUAAAUGCUAUUGUUGAAGGUCAUAGCAAGCUUUUUUUUCUUUUGAGGAUGAAAACCUUGCAUGUAGUAGUUGAUGGCAAAUCUUGGGUUAAUUAUCUGUAGUUUUUUUGUAAGAAAAAUGGCAUCAGGAUGAAAAAUUAAGAUUUACUAUCUCAACUUGGUUUUGUCUUCUUCCUGUGAAACCAUCGCUCUUGCCAAAGAAAAAGUACAAGCACCGAUAAUCCUGUGGGAAACAUUUAUUAGUGGGGUUAAUGAUGCUAAGAAAAAGUUCUCUGGAAUAAUGUCGCGGACUUUCCUUUUUCAGAAAACCACCAACAGGAGCAAGGGUUACGACAUAGAAGGAGCUGAUCUAACAGAAAUUGUUCAAAUAUAAGUUGUUGUUUUUAAACACUCGGGUAAUACAGAAGAUGAAGAUCAAGAAGAAAAUGCAUGAUUUAUGUUUGAUUUUCGGCAUAGGCGGACUGGGAAAUACUGGUUUCACCUCACAAGUUGGAAGUGAACCUUUAAGAUUUUGUGGUUUUGGUGAAGAAAGUCUUCACUCAGUGGUUUGCGGUGUUUGCCUCUCUCAAGCCUAGAAGUUGCUGAUUUCAAAAUCCAAAUGGACAUCAUCUCCUUGCUGGUUACCAUUGAGGAGAAUAAGAAGUGGAUGUGGGCGGACUUCAGGACUUGAUGAACGCUAUAAAAAGCUACCUUGUCUAUUGCCUGUGAAUAUAUAGGCUCAAGAAAACUAAAUGGAAAUUACAUCACGAUACAAACGAAAUGUGUCUGGCAGAUAUGCGUUAACUGACAGGGAUUCGAAGGAUCUUGUGAAAUUUUGGAUCACGAAGCAUCAGGUAUUUUCCAAUCGCAAUAACAAAAGCUGAAGGCAUUAACAGCAGGUGCACAAUGGGGAGAAAAAACUUUUCUCAAUGCCAAUCUGAAAUGGUACUUACGUGCAUAUGUUGGUCUUUAUAGUCGCUUUUCAUUCCUGCAACUUGGAAGCUAUUCCAGGUUGCCAUGAGAGUCAAUGAUAUCAUUACUUCUGGAGCUAAGCCUGUAUUUUUCCUCGAUAACUAUGUUACAAGCCAUCUCGAUGUUGAAUUGACUGAAAAGGUCAUAGAAGGCAUUGUUGAUGGAUGCACGCAAUCUGACUGCGUUCUUUUUGGAGGAGAGAAAUAUUGAAUAGCUACCGGCACUCGUGCAGCACCCAUUUCUUAGGCUUCUGAGAACAUGCUAUUCUAAUCUUAUGAAGUGUCUGAGUAACAAUUUUUAUGAAGAAGAAGCCGAUUCCUGUGAAAAACUGUUGCAUUCCCAUGUGCUAUAUGUACAAUACUGUGGUGCCUCUGGUCUGAUGCAAACGCGCUAAUUCUUGGUGCAGGAUACAUGUGAUUAGAGUAUGAACAAGUAGACUAUUGAGUCUGUGCAUAGUUUGUCUCUGAUGUGCCUGCAAUAAGGGUAACAGGAAAAAUCAAUACCUUACUAGGAUGGGAUGUCUGAGGGAUUUUUUAUUCUUGGUGUUUCCGCUGGCCGCUUGUAAGAUUAGUGAAGCCUGAACUUCACUAGCUAAAAAAAUAGUAAGAUUCUACCUGGGGUUCACUAUAUUUCUUAACUCAAGUAGAAUCUUACUGGGUUCUGCACGUCUUUGAUGUAGACGGAAAGCUCUUGUUGCAGCGUUGCAGUGUUUAGAAGAAGAAAAAAAAGAACAUUUUUCUUUUUGUUUGCCAAGUGACUGUAACAUUCUGGUUCAUGUACUGAAACAAUUGAACAGUAAAGGCUGUGGAAAUGGGUUUGAGUUGCCUGUGUUCAAAGUCACUGGUGGUAUAGUCAUAGUUGGUUAUUAGGCUUUGUCAGUCAGUUAUCAUGUAUGUAAUAUCUAUGUAUUAUGUUAAUUAGGGUUGUUAAUGGGCUGAAGUGUCUUUGGACAAUGACAGAGAUCUCCACCGGCCACAAAUUACCGCUAAAACAUGAUCCAAUUUGAGGCAUGUAGGUUCUACUCAUUUUGAGACACAGGUAGUUUUGAAAACUCAGCAACUUUUGUAUUUAAACAGUGAGUGAUAGCACAGGUGGGAGAUAUAUAGGAAGAAAGUUUCAAAUUGAAGUUCAUAAUGCUAAGGUUGUUACUUGUGGAUCGAUUUUGGAGCUUAUUUUUGGAAUUGAGAAAUGUGAACUGAUUUGAUAGCAGUUUGUUUU